GUGCCCUAGAAAGGUCAUCUAGUGGUAUCAGGGAAUAGCCCAUGAUGUUUUGUGCUGGGCUCACCACCCCAUGUAAUGUCUUUCUAUCCACGGCUGUCAAGCCAGCAUAUCAUACUGUAAUGCAAUACGUGAGGAC